UACGUAGGGAGCGAGCGUUGUUCGGAAUUAUUGGGCGUAAAGGGCGCGUAGGCGGCCGGUCAAGUCAGAUGUGAAAGUCCUGGGCUUAACCUGGGGACUGCAUUUGAUACUGAUUGGCUUGAAUUCGGGAGAGGAUAGCGGAAUUCCCAGUGUAGAGGUGAAAUUCGUAGAUAUUGGGAAGAACACCGGUGGCGAAGGCGGCUAUCUGGGCCGACAUUGACGCUGAUGCGCGAAAGCGUGGGGAGCAAACAGG
rnacentral:rRNA from 1 species